GCGGGUGUAGUUCAAUGGUAGAACUCCAGCCUUCCAAGCUGGAUGCGGGGGUUCGAUUCCCAUCACCCGCUCCA
rnacentral:tRNA from 1 species